rnacentral:rRNA from 1 species
UUCGCAAUCGCAUUUCCAACAACUAACAACUCAGAAUGCUGGGCAAUAGGACGUUUAAAGUGGCUCCUUACACCUUACAAAGGAAUGGCUGAUGAGAAACAACUCGAUCCGCUCAGCGUUCUAUUGGAAUGCAACGGACGUGAUUGCAAGCUUUUGUUUUGAGUUGCGGUUUUACUGAAAGACUCUACAAUCCGCAAACUUCAAUGAUCUGAAGUAGAAAACCUACAUGCUACAGUGAGAUAUUGUGGAUAAACUUAAGCGACCGCUCCAACAUUGUGUUUUUUUAAAACUGAUGAAGGUUGCGGCAAUAACAGGUCUGUGAUGCCCUUCGAU